rnacentral:rRNA from 1 species
AAAUUAAAAUAUGGCAUAAAGUGGAUGCCUUGACUCGAGUGCCCGAUGAAGGACGUAUAAGUCUGCGAUAAGCUUGGAGGAGUUGACAAAAAACGCUAUUACUCCAAGAUUUCCGAAUGGGGGAACCCAAUUCCGGUAAUCGGAAUUAUCUGCAAAGCAGAAGGAUACAUUGUGAACUGAAAUAUCUAAGUAGCAAUGGAAAAGAAAUCAAUUGAGAUUCCCUGAGUAGCGACGAGCGAAACGGGAUCAGCCCAAACCAUAGAAGCUGUAGGUAGCUUUUGGCUCUAUGGGGUUGUAGGAAUAAUAUUCGGGGAGGCUAAUAAACCGAGUAUAAAAUAUUAAUAUUAAAAGAAUAAGUUUGGAAGCUUAACCAUAGAGGGUUCUAGUCCCGUAUUUGAAAAUAAUUUUAUUUUGUACCUAUUAUUUCCUGAGUAGGUUCAGACACGUGGAAUCUGGACUGAAGCUGGGGAGACCAUUCUCCAAGGCUAAAUACCACUCGAGAUCGAUAGCGAACUAGUACCAUGAGGGAAAGGUGAAAAGAACCCCGGGAGGGGAGUGAAAUAGACCCUGAAACUUUAUGCCUUCAAAGAGAUGGAGCCUUCGGGUGACAUCGUACUUUUUGUAGAACGGACCAACGAGUUAGUGUGUAUGGCAAGGUUAAGGAAGAUUUAUCUGGAGCCGUAGUGAAAGCGAGCCUGAAUAGGGCGAUAAGUCAUAUAUACUAGACCCGAAACUGGGUGAGCUUCCCAUGAGCAGGCUGAAGUAGAGGUAAGACUCUAUGGAGGGCCGAACCAUUUGGAGCUGCAAGUCCAUUGGAUGACUUGUGGGAAGGAGUGAAAAGCUAAUCGAACCCAGAGAUAGCUGGUUCUCCGCGAAAUAGCUUUAGGGCUAGCCUCGGAUUACUAUUUUACAGGGGUAGGGCUCUGAUAGGACUAGCGGGAUGCGAAUCUUAGCAAAUCCUGAUAAACUUCGAAUACUGUAAAAAUUAUACCGGGAGUCAGACAGUGACGGAUAAGCGCCAUUGUCAAAAGGGAAACAGCCCAGAUUACUAUCUAAGGUCCCUAAUUUAUAGCUAAGUGGCAAAGGAUGUGAGGUUGCUUAGACAACCAGGAGGUUGGCUUAGAAGCAGCCAUUCCUUUAAAGAGUGCGUAAUAGCUCACUGGUCAAGCGACCUUGCGCCGAAAAUCCAACGGGGCUUAAGCUAUAAACCGAAGAUGUAAAUUCAUACUUUUAGUAUGUCUGGUAGCGGAGCGUUCUGUAUGUCGCUGAAGGAGGAGGGUAACCGACUCUGGAGAUAUCAGAAGUGAAAAUGUUGGUAUGAGUAACGUAAGGAAGAUGAAAACUCUUCCCGCCGAAAACCUCAGGUUUCCUACACAACGUCAGUCGAUGUAGGGUUAGUCGGUCCUAAGGUGUACCCGAUAGGGGAAGCUGAUGGAUACACGGUUAAUAUUCCGUGACUAUGUAUAUUUUUCUAAGGGGGGACAUAUUGGGAUAUAAGAGACUCUUAAUGAAUUGAGUUACGAAAACAAAUCUUAGAUUGUAGGCAAAUCCGCAAUCUUUUAAGGAUGAGUUUAGUUACACUAAUUUUUUUCUUUCGGGAAAAAGAAAAGUCGCUCUUACUAUAUUCUGGUAUCAAGAAAAGCCUCUAAGAGCUAAGGUAUAUGUAACCGUACCGUAAACGAACACUCGUAGGUUAGUGGAGAACACUAAGGUGAACGAGAUAACUAUGCUUAAGGAACUCGGCAAAACAGCGGUUGUAACUUCGGGAUAAAACCUGCCUUGAAAGUAUUUUACUUUCUAGGCCGCAGCGAAAGAACCCAGGCGACUGUUUACCAAAAACACAGCUCUCUGCAAACUCGUAAGAGGAUGUAUAGGGGGUGAUGCCUGCCCAGUGCCAGAAGGUCACGGGGAUGAGUGCAAGCUCUGAACCCAAGCCCUGGUGAACGGCGGCCGUAACUAUAACGGUCCUAAGGUAGCGAAAUUCCUUGUCGGGUAAGUUCCGACCCGCACGAAUGGCAUAACGGUCUGGGUACUGUCUCAAGCAUAGACUCGGUGAAAUUGCAAUGUCGGUAAAAAUGCCGACUACCUGCAGCAAGACGGAAAGACCCUAUGGAGCUUUACUAUAGCUUGGUAUUGGGUCAUGUUUUAAGAUGUGCAGUAUAGGUGGGAGACUGUGAAGCAGAGUCGUUAGAUUUUGUGGAGUCAUCGUUGAGAUACCACCCUUCUUAAAAUGUGGCUCUAACCCUGUAAUCAGGGGACAGUGCUUGGUGGGUAGUUUAACUGGGGCGGUUGCCUCCUAAAAUGUAACGGAGGCGCGCAAUGGUUGGCUAGCAUCGGAUGGAAAUCGGUGUGAUAGUGUAUUCGCACAAGCCAGCUUGACUGAGAGACCUACAAGUCGAUCAGACACGAAAGUGGGCGAAAGUGAUCCGGCACUUACGUAUGGAAGUAGUGUCGCUCAACGGAUAAAAGUUACCCUAGGGAUAACAGGCUGAUCGCAUCCAAGAGUUCAUAUCGACGAUGCGGUUUGGCACCUCGAUGUCGGCUCGUCGCAUCCUGGGGCUGGAGAAGGUCCCAAGGGUAUGGCUGUUCGCCAUUUAAAGCGGUACGCGAGCUGGGUUCAGAACGUCGUGAGACAGUUUGGCCCCUAUCUGCUGUAGGCGUUUAGGAAUUUGAGAAGAUCUGCUCCUAGUACGAGAGGACCGGAGUGGACAAACCUCUGGUGUAUCGGUUGUCAUGUCUAAUGGCAUCGCCGAGUAGCUAAGUUUGGAAGGGAUAACCACUGAAAGCAUCUAAGUGGGAAGCCUACUUCAAGAUUAGAUUCCUCUGCCCUCGAGGCAAUAAGUCCCCUUGGAGACUACAAGGUUGAUAGGUUGUAGGUGUAAGGACAGUGAUGUUUUUAGCCGAGCAAUACUAAUCGGACGAACGAAUUUUA